AGCAGUGUGAUGUAGUGGUAAGAAGCUGGGUUUAUAACCCAGAAGUUGACAGUUUGAUUCCCAGAUGGGCCACUGCUG